GGGACGAAGGCAUGGGUAGCGAAGAGGAUUAGAUACCCUCGUAGUCCAUGCCGUAAACGAUGUGUGUUAGACGUUGGAAAUUUAUUUUCAGUGUCGCAGGGAAACCGAUAAACACACCGCCUGGGGAGUACGACCGCAAGGUUAAAACUCAAAUGAAUUGACGGGGACCCGCACAAGUAGUGGAGCAUGUGGUUUAAUUCGAAGAUACGCGCAGAACCUUACCAACACUUGACAUGUUCGUCGCGACUCUAAGAGAUUAGAGUUUUCGGUUCGGCCGGACGAAACACAGGUGCUGCAUGGCUGUCGUCAGCUCGUGUCGUGAGAUGUUGGGUUAAGUCCCGCAACGAGCGCAACCCUCACUUUUAGUUGCCAUCAUUAAGUUGGGCACUCUGAAAGAACUGCCAGUGAUAAGCUGGAGGAAGGUGGGGAUGACGUCAAGUCCUCAUGGCCCUUACGUGUUGGGCUACACACGUGCUACAAUGGUAUCUACAACAGGAAGCAAGACUGCGAAGUUAAGCAAAUCCCUAAAAGAUACCUCAGUUCGGAUUGCACUCUGCAACUCGAGUGCAUGAAGCUGGAAUUACUAGUAAUCGUGGAUCAGCGUGCCACGGUGAAUGCGUUCCCGGGUCUUGUACACACCGCCCGUCACACCAUGGGAGUUGGUUCUACCUUAAGGCAAGGUUUCAAACCCUUGACCACGGUAUAGUCAGCGACUGGGGUGAAGUCGUAACAAGGUAA
rnacentral:rRNA from 1 species